AGGAGUAAAACGUCUGCAGCUUCUCUAGCCGCUCGGUGAUGCUCAGGUGAUGGGAGCGGUCGUCCUGGUUGCGGUUGUCAUGGAAACAGUCUGACCCGGGGUCUGCUGCUGCCCCGUCCGACUGAGUCGUCCGGAGCAGCUCUGACGCUGGGUCUCUUGGUCGGGUCCGGCUCCAGCAGGGACAACACAAAUGACGCUGCACCUGCAACAGGAGCACAGUGCGGGAGGUGAAAUGUGGAGCUACCUUCGCUGACGUCACUGGGGAUGCUGCUGAUCUCCCCCUUUACCAUCUUCUGGUGCAGCUGUUUGAUGUUGAAAGGCUCGACAGUGAAGGGCAAAGUCCCUGUCAGCAUGGCAAACAUGCUCACACCUCUGCACACACGCACACACACACGCACAAACACACACACACACACACACACACACACACAUAGUGAAGAAACACACAUUUACAUUACACAGUACUACAGAGAUAAACUCUCAUUUCAAAUGCCCACACUGAGCUACAGUAGAAUGGUACAGGGCCAGACAACCUCCUGAACAGACACGCUGGCUGAGACUUUAACACUCACACCGACCAGACGUCCACUUUGGGUCCGUACUUCCUGUGGGCGAGCAGCUCGGGGGCUGCGUAGGCAGGACUUCCACACUGGGUGUUGAGAAGCUCCAGAGACAACGACUCUGCCUUCAGAGUGUUGCUAAGGCCAAAGUCUGUGUGAAACAUCAGCAUUUUUUUUCCAAUGGGGCUCUUGUUACUCCACAUUUACAGAUGCCCCACAGGGCUGCGAUAUCCUAGACCUACCCUUACCCCGAUGGUCAAAUGUCACGGGAGAAAGCGGAAAUGUCAACGUACCGACAAUCUUUAUGUUGUUAUGUUCGUCCAGCAGGAAGUUCUCAAUCUUCAGAUCUCUGCAGAGGAAGAAGAUGAGAGACGACAGAGAAGUUAAAAAGUGUGGUUCACUGUCGUAUUUAUAAGGUGGUUGUUCAAUUCAAGAGCUAUGAGCCUUUCAGUGUAUUUAUGGACCACCAGACGAGACGGGACCAGACCGGUCCCAACGAAGAACAGGAAAACCCAAGUGAAAUUUGGGUUUGGGUUGAGCUCAAGCGUUAAAAACACUGUUGAAAAAUGCCUGGGGAAACCUUCAGUAGCAAUUUUGGUAAUUGGUUUGCUUUGGACUCCUGAAGCCCUGCACACAAAGUUUUUCAACGGCUCUUCUUGACUUGCACUCGCUAUGCUCUACCGAGGUAAUACCUCUGUGUUCACCUGGAAAAGAGAGUCCUGAGAGGACCCCAGCCUCACUACUGACAACACUGCCUGCUCGUAAAGCUACCACGCUAAGAUGAAAAUCUGUGGUUAGGAGAGAGGGAGAGAGAUCCCCUAUAAAAUACAGCCUGGGAAAUCCGCCAUUUCUUUUCAUCUGCCUUCAUCUAACCAACAGACACUCCAGGUCCCCGAAACCCAGAGAACUUUGCUCACACGACCCAAGAAAAGUUCAAAGGCAGACGGGGUGGGGAAAAGAGCGAGAGCAGACGUUGUCGUAAAGGAGAAAAUGUAAUGCGGUGAAUCUGCUGAAUGUGGGUGGCAGGAGGUGCGUUCAAGUGCAAAUUUUCCAUUUAUUUCCAGUUUAAUCAUCUCUGUGUGGGUCUGUGGGAGACAGUGUGCGAGCGCCAGUGAGCAUAUGUGUGUGUGUGUGUGUGUGUGUGUGUGUGUGUGUGUGUGUGUGUGUGUGUGUGUGACAGAGAGAGGUGCUAUUGAAGGGUUGAGAGCGACAUCGUUGAGGGACUUCAUUAGAGAGGAAGUCCGUGAUGUCGUGAUGAUGUGUGAAUCAUGGCGCCGGCGCAAGAUGAUGAGCUCAUCGCCUGGUAAUCACAUUCCCACCUUCAGAGGAGCCAAGGUCUUAAAGCGAAGCCCAGAGCUGAGCAUGGCUCUAACCAUAACCUCCACCAUGCAACAGAUCGCUACUGUUCGGGGGUGCUCCACUGCAGAGAGGAUCUGUCGGGUGUAGCGCCGCACCUCGCGCUCUUCCAGCCUCUUCCUCUCACAGAUCCUGUCCAUCAGGUCUCCUCCUGCACAGAGCUCCAUGGCCAUGUAGUAGCUGUUCUCUGUCUCCAGAGUCUGACACAAACAGGACUACGAUGUGAGGAUGUCGCACCAUCUGAUGAAUACGAGGUUCCCUCUUCAUGUUCUUCAGGACGUAUGAGUCCUGCCGUGCUUUUUUCUUGUCUAUCACCUUAAUGGCCACCUAAACACACACACACACACCGUUAACUUCAAAUAAUAAGGAAGUCAUCUUUUGUAAUGCUCUCAGUGCUGGUAGUUCCAAAUCAUCCGAGUGAAACUUAUUUUCAUGUUUACCUUCAAGAUGAGGAUGAUGAAGGAAAAGAAAGAACUUGGCCUGCUCAGGAAAUUAAUCUCCUCAAAGUGAUAUUUAUUGAAAACGAUUCAGCUCAUACGGAUGAGUCUGGGAUAAUGUAUCGGGUAAACACUUGAGUGUGUGAAUGACAGUAUAUGUUUGGCAGAAUUUUAAAAAUUCAGCUUAUUUUCGGUGUGUGUGUUUUAAUAUCUGCAGAUUUCACCUCCACAGGUCUUGUAGCGGCAGAGAGUAACAGAGGCUAAGAGGAGCAAACCCCCCUGGAGAUGAGUUUGGUUGCAGCUAUGGCAACCAGGUCAGGUAGGAUCCCACCCGCUUGGAGUGUGGGAAGCUGCGCAGCAGCUCCCUGGGGACCAUCAGGGACGGGAGCGGCAGCCUCUCCCGCUCAGGCUUGGGGGUUUCCCACUGGGACACUCCUGCAUCCCCUCCCUCGGCCACCAUGUCCUCUGGACUGGGCUUCACUGCAGCAGCUGGCAUCCCGCACAGAGUCCGGGCCCCAUGUGGCUGCCUCCGACCCUCACGAUCAAAUCCCAAAACAGGACUGACCUUGUACGACACACAUACUAACACACACACGUACACAAACACACGCCCAAUGGUUUGUUGCUGCCAAAAAUAAAGAUUGGAUCCAAAUCCUUUCUUCGGGAGCAGGUGCGUGUCCUUGGCAACAGAUUUCUGUAUCCUCCCACUCUCAGAUAAGUAAUUCCAUUAUUCCAGAAUCUUUGAUUGAUGAUUUCACUCUUUCUUCUUAGCUUAUUUUACCUUUUUAACAACUGCAGGUGCCUUAAAAGUGUCUCUGUUUCAGUCCAACUGCGCGGAGGUCUACUGGCUUCUCUCACUCCGUCUCUCUCUGCUGGGUAGUGGAUGAUUAACCGUCAUGGCUCUUAGGUCACCUCCAGUGAUGAGGAGGACAUUCUACACCGUAAAUACCCCCCCCCCCCCCCCUCCCCUCCACUGCACACACCAAGCCUCUAACUGACACGAUCAGGGGAAGUUUCUUGGCUGUGGAAACACAUCCGAGUUCUUAUGGCACAAAGAGGUGGACCGAACACAGCCACGUGCGACGGGACCAACACGACUCGGGGCCGGCUUGUGUCGUCAGCGACAUUUUUCGAAACCCAGAAAUCAGCUCCACAGUCGACUGAGGUGGGACGGCGUGAAUGUCCGCAUAGUGAGCGAGCUGUAGAAGAAGAGGUGCAGUUUGUUUGGGCGGGAGGAAGCUGCUAUUUACACAAAAGCUCUCUCGAUUUCGGCCUCUCGCCGCCUCAGUAUGGAGGAUUUGGCUGCCGCCAUCAGUCCGAUCAGCAGAUAACACCAGAGCUGUUUUCUACAGGAGCUACCACGGAAUCAAAGGACAUGGAUGCUGAUGCUCCCUGACAGUAAGGCCUGCUGCUAAUCUGAGUCCGUCUACCCAGAGGCCUUUUUCUUGGCUCGGUGCUGCUGUAGGAACCUCUGAAGCUGUGGCUUUCAGCACCAGACGAUCAGGACAGAUUUUGGUGAAGAACGUCUUGUUCCGAGCCCUGAUGCUGUAGGUUAAUGUCAUUAUUCGUUUGUAAAAGAUGUGGGGUGUGUGUGCGUGCGUGGGUGCGUGUGUGUGCGUGUGUGUGUGUGUGCGUGUGCGUGUGCGUGCGUGCGUGCGUCAGGCUGGCACUGUUUUCCAGCAUUGUUAAGACCCAUCUAUCAUGGACAUAUAAUAUUUGUAAUAGUUUGACAUAGUUUAUGUUUCCUAUACUAUAUAUUAUAUGUAUUAUUUUUCAUUCAAGUACUCAAGUACACAAAUGCUUACUGUUCGCUCCUACAGUAUAUUACAAUUUAAAAGUAGUGUUACCCUGUGUGUGUAGUUGUUUCUAGAUAUGAGAAAAUUACUACUUCUCAAUCUAUAACGUCAGUAAACAUUUAGGAGCAUAUGGUCUCAGGCUCUAGUGUCAAGUCUUCUCCAAUGCAGUAUGAUGUUCGUUUAGUAAAUUAUGGUCCCAUUUAGAGUCAAAUAGACGAUAAAGCACCGUAUGCAUUGGUGCGUGGAUACAGCGUGAUUGACAGCUGGUCCAUCCAAUCGGUGAGUGGUUGCAGGUGUAGGUGGGUGCACAGUGAAUGACCCCCAAUCCUACGUCUGGUUGCAAAAAAAGACAACAUGGCACUGGUCAAAAUGUGAAACUCAAGGUUUCAAAGCGGCCGUUCACAAACCAACAGGCGACGUCACGGGUGGUUGCCACGUGUUUCAGACAUGCACUGCAACCCUGAUCUUUUCUAGACGAUAACCUGAAGGAGCUGUACGUGUGAACACAAAUGUCCAAAUCAGUCAAACUGGACAUUAGAGACGUUACCCUGCCAGCUCGCUAGUACAAAGACUGCUCAAUGUCCCACUGAGCCGAUGUGUAAACAGUUAAAGAGCUGAAUCUGGCUGACACUAGACAGCGAAAACGACAGAAUGACAUCACGAAUAUGCUGAAUGGUGUAUUGCUACUUCACAACAGUUUUCAGCUACAUGCUCAAUUCUGCACAAUGACCAUCCAGUAUACACUAGGUUGUGACCUGGUACUGGUCAUCUUAAACUAUCCAUACACAUUAAUUCACUUCAUUUUCCCUUCUCCACACAGAGGUCAAAGGUCAAAUCAGGUAAGAGCUCUUGGAGCCGGGAGGGUUUAGAAGUAUAUAAGAGCUCGGGGGGUUUUCAGAUUAAAGGAUCACAUCCUGUACUAACCAGCCACAC